rnacentral:rRNA from 1 species
GACGAACGCUGGCGGCGUGCUUAACGCAUGCUAGUCGAACGGAAAGGCCCUGCUUUUGUGGGGUGCUCGAGUGGCGAACGGGUGAGUAACACGUGAGUAACCUGCCCUUGACUUUGGGAUAACUUCAGGAAACUGGGGCUAAUACCGGAUAGGAGCUCCUGCUGCAUGGUGGGGGUUGGAAAGUUUCGGCGGUUGGGGAUGGACUCGCGGCUUAUCAGCUUGUUGGUGGGGUAGUGGCUUACCAAGGCUUUGACGGGUAGCCGGCCUGAGAGGGUGACCGGCCACAUUGGGACUGAGAUACGGCCCAGACUCCUACGGGAGGCAGCAGUGGGGAAUAUUGCACAAUGGGCGGAAGCCUGAUGCAGCAACGCCGCGUGCGGGAUGACGGCCUUCGGGUUGUAAACCGCUUUCGCCUGUGACGAAGCGUGAGUGACGGUAAUGGGUAAAGAAGCACCGGCUAACUACGUGCCAGCAGCCGCGGUGAUACGUAGGGUGCGAGCGUUGUCCGGAUUUAUUGGGCGUAAAGGGCUCGUAGGUGGUUGAUCGCGUCGGAAGUGUAAUCUUGGGGCUUAACCCUGAGCGUGCUUUCGAUACGGGUUGACUUGAGGAAGGUAGGGGAGAAUGGAAUUCCUGGUGGAGCGGUGGAAUGCGCAGAUAUCAGGAGGAACACCAGUGGCGAAGGCGGUUCUCUGGGCCUUUCCUGACGCUGAGGAGCGAAAGCGUGGGGAGCGAACAGGCUUAGAUACCCUGGUAGUCCACGCUGUAAACGGUGGGUACUAGGUGUGGGGUCCAUUCCACGGGUUCCGUGCCGUAGCUAACGCUUUAAGUACCCCGCCUGGGGAGUACGGCCGCAAGGCUAAAACUCAAAGGAAUUGACGGGGCCCCGCACAAGCGGCGGAGCAUGCGGAUUAAUUCGAUGCAACGCGUAGAACCUUACCUGGGUUUGACAUGGAUCGGGAGUGCUCAGAGAUGGGUGUGCCUCUUUUGGGGUCGGUUCACAGGUGGUGCAUGGCUGUCGUCAGCUCGUGUCGUGAGAUGUUGGGUUAAGUCCCGCAACGAGCGCAACCCUUGUUCACUGUUGCCAGCACGUUAUGGUGGGGACUCAGUGGAGACCGCCGGGGUCAACUCGGAGGAAGGUGGGGAUGACGUCAAGUCAUCAUGCCCCUUAUGUCCAGGGCUUCACGCAUGCUACAAUGGCUGGUACAGAGAGUGGCGAGCCUGUGAGGGUGAGCGAAUCUCGGAAAGCCGGUCUCAGUUCGGAUUGGGGUCUGCAACUCGACCUCAUGAAGUCGGAGUCGCUAGUAAUCGCAGAUCAGCAACGCUGCGGUGAAUACGUUCCCGGGGCU